GAGUUUACAACUCCCAAACCCCUGUGAACAUACCACUUGUUGCCUCGGCGGAUCAGCCCGCUCCCGGUAAAACGGGACGGCCCGCCAGAGGACCCCUAAACCUCUGUUUCUAUAUGUAACUUCUGAGUAAAACCAUAAAUAAAUCAAAACUUUCAACAACGGAUCUCUUGGUUCUGGCAUCGAUGAAGAACGCAGCAAAAUGCGAUAAGUAAUGUGAAUUGCAGAAUUCAGUGAAUCAUCGAAUCUUUGAACGCACAUUGCGCCCGCCAGUAUUCUGGCGGGCAUGCCUGUUCGAGCGUCAUUUCAACCCUCAAGCACAGCUUGGUGUUGGGACUCGCGUUAAUUCGCGUUCCUCAAAUUGAUUGGCGGUCACGUCGAGCUUCCAUAGCGUAGUAGUAAAACCCUCGUUACUGGUAAUCGUCGCGGCCACGCCGUUAAACCCCAACUUCUGAAUGUGACCUCGAUCACGUGC
rnacentral:rRNA from 1 species